rnacentral:rRNA from 1 species
UUCAUUAAUCAAGAACGAAAGUUAAGGGAUCGAAGAUGAUCAGAUACCGUCGUAGUCUUAACUAUAAACUAUGCCGACCAGGGAUAUGAGUUGUUAUGAAUGCAUUUACGUGUAUUCGAUUUCCUCUUGUGGACCUUGUGAGAAAUCAUAAGUCUUUGGGUUCUGGGGGGAGUAUGGUCGCAAGGCUGCAACUUAAAGGAAUUCACGGAAGAGCACAACCAGGAG